CCCACSUCCUUACGUGCAAGCGCUGGCCCCGUCUGGCAGGAGGCCCGGAGCCCCGCGUCCUCGGCGCGGACGGAAGGCGCUUGGCCGCACAGGAGCCGGAGCCUGCUCUGCGAAAGCGAUCUCUUUUCCCGGGAAGGACGCAGCAAGACGGGAAAAUCAGCUGCGGCGGCUGGUGCUGUUUGUUUUGCUUUCAGGAUCCGAGGGUCUUCCCAGACGAGUGGCAGCCGCGGGACGAAGGCAGCAGCAUCGCUCCGUGGCGAUGCCGAUCGCUUAAGGGCAACAGCACAACCUGGUGGCUCCUGGUUCAUCCCAUGGAUCAGACCACGGAGCGGCACGAGGAAGCUCGGGAUUUCCCCUUCCCCAGAAGCCACCCGACUGCUUGCACAGAACUGGAGCGGUUUCUCAUUAGUUCACAGGGAGGYGAUGCAGUUGCUGUGUGACCACGAUGAUCGUUUGGAGCUGAUUCCAGAAGCAUGUUAAGUUCUGCCACUGCUCCUCAUGGCCAUGAGAGGAAAACUAGCACAGCUGGAACAGCCUGUCCCACGUGCUGGUGUCCCACAUGUCCCCCCUAASAGAGUGGAAGCACCAGGGAAGUUCUCAGCAUGAGCCUGCAA
rnacentral:lncRNA from 1 species